ACAGAGGGGGCAAGCGUUGUUCGGAAUUACUGGGCGUAAAGGGCGCGUAGGCGGCCUGUUAAGUCGAACGUGAAAUCCCUAGGCUCAACCUAGGAACUGCGUCCGAUACUGGCAGGCUUGAAUCCGGGAGAGGGAUGUGGAAUUCCAGGUGUAGCGGUGAAAUGCGUAGAUAUCUGGAGGAACACCGGUGGCGAAGGCGGCAUCCUGGACCGGUAUUGACGCUGAGGCGCGAAAGCCAGGGGAGCAAACGGGA
rnacentral:rRNA from 1 species